rnacentral:lncRNA from 1 species
GUCGAGGGCCGUAGAAUAUCCCAGUGCCUACCAAAGUGGUAUUUAAUGAUCAUUCCCUCUUGUUUUUCAGGAAUAAACUGAAACACAAUUUUUUCAAUACUAGAAGGGGAAAAAAAAGUGGUUAAAAAAAAAGUGGUUAAAAAAAAAGACUAUUGAAAGCCAGUUUACAAAAGCCCCACGGUCACAUUUGCCACAAAACAGACAGAUCACUGUUUUAUUUGCCUCAGCAUGGAUUUUCUUGUACAGGACAGAAGGAAAGUCUUAAGAGUUGCUGGAGAAUAGAAAGCUUCAGUCAUAGAGACUUCUAUCUUCAGGACGCAGCAGUUAAAUAGUAUCCAGACUACAGCUUUCACUUCACAGAGGCAAUCCCUGGUCUGUCCUUUUACUAAUGCCCAGUGGGUGACAGGCUCUUUCCCAGAAGUUGAACAGAGCUACGCUGGCCGAUCCCUCUCUCCGAAGUCAAGUGACCUCUCUGGUAAUGGACUGCCUUUCUGUGAGCUUGCAUCCUGACCAGGCUUUCCAAAUCUAGCCUGUGAAGUGAGAUAAGAAAAA